AACCGAGUGGCGUAAGGGUGAGUAAUGCAUUGAUAACCUACCUCCAAGAUGGGAAUAACAACGUUCCAAGCAAUUGGGGCUACCGAAAGGGUUGCUAAUACUCAAUAAAAUUAUUGUUGCUUCGGCAAUAAUAGUCAAAUAGGAGGAAUCGAAAGGUUUCGCUUGCUUGAAGAGGGGUCAAUGUCCUAUCAGCUAGUUGGUGGGGUAAUAGCCUACCAAGGCGAAGACGGGUAGCCGGCCUGAGAGGGUGGUCGGCCACACUGGGACUGAGAUACUGCCCAGACUCCUACGGGAGGCUGCAGUCGAGAAUCUUUCGCAAUGCCCGAAAGGGUGACGAAGCGACGCCGCGUGCGGGAGGAAGGCCUUCGGGUUGUAAACCGCUGUCGGGAGUUAAGAAAUGCAAGGGUGUUAACAGCGUCCUUGCUUGACUAAGGCUCCGGAGGAAGCCACGGCUAACUCUGUG
rnacentral:rRNA from 1 species